rnacentral:rRNA from 1 species
ACAUGCAAGUAGAACGCUGAAGAGAGGAGCUUGCUCUUCUUGGAUGAGUUGCGAACGGGUGAGUAACGCGUAGGUAACCUGCCUUGUAGCGGGGGAUAACUAUUGGAAACGAUAGCUAAUACCGCAUAACAAUGGGUGACACAUGUCAUUUAUUUGAAAGGGGCAAUUGCUCCACUACAAGAUGGACCUGCGUUGUAUUAGCUAGUAGGUGAGGUAACGGCUCACCUAGGCGACGAUACAUAGCCGACCUGAGAGGGUGAUCGGCCACACUGGGACUGAGACACGGCCCAGACUCCUACGGGAGGCAGCAGUAGGGAAUCUUCGGCAAUGGGGGCAACCCUGACCGAGCAACGCCGCGUGAGUGAAGAAGGUUUUCGGAUCGUAAAGCUCUGUUGUAAGUCAAGAACGAGUGUGAGAGUGGAAAGUUCACACUGUGACGGUAGCUUACCAGAAAGGGACGGCUAACUACGUGCCAGCAGCCGCGGUAAUACGUAGGUCCCGAGCGUUGUCCGGAUUUAUUGGGCGUAAAGCGAGCGCAGGCGGUUUGAUAAGUCUGAAGUUAAAGGCUGUGGCUCAACCAUAGUUCGCUUUGGAAACUGUCAAACUUGAGUGCAGAAGGGGAGAGUGGAAUUCCAUGUGUAGCGGUGAAAUGCGUAGAUAUAUGGAGGAACACCGGUGGCGAAAGCGGCUCUCUGGUCU